rnacentral:rRNA from 1 species
AUGGAGGACCUGACAUCCCUCGUCAACAAGCUGCAGCUGGCCAGCACCACCCUCGCCGACAACGGCGUGGGGAGCGCCCUCCCGACCGACUGGGACGAGCUGCCCUUCAUCGCCUUCGUGGGAGCCCAGCUGCCCGACCCAGCGCCGGACUGCCAGUUGUUGUGGCCACCAGAAGGACCACCAGAGAUGCGCCGAGAGCAGAAGGCGACCAUGAGCGGCGAGAGCGGUGUGGUUGCCUGCAGCAAUAUCACCUUCGGGGGUCAUCUCGUCCCAGAGAAACAUACUUACAACGACAUAGAGCGGGAACGGUGUGACAGCCUUCUCAAUGAUCUUGGUAGUCAUCCCAUGGGGAUCGCAGUUGAUACCGCGAGGGAUCUGGAUUACCAUCUCGUCGUCGUCCACCGGCUUGUCCAUGUUGCGCAGCCUGUCGCCAACCGACUUGAGGCGGGCGCUGAAACUGGAGACAGAGGAGUUGCCUUGACGGACGGCGUAAAGCUCUUCGUCUUCAGGGGCAAAACCUUGAGAGGCGACAGAGACCAAGCGCCCGCCAGUCGAACCACCAGACCGCCGAAUCAGCAGGAGGUGAAACUGAGCAAGGCAGCGACGGGGGGUGCAAAAGAUCCCACGGCGGUCGAGCGCAGAGGAGAAAACCUUGCCGCCCCCGACCUCGAUCUGGCCGGGAAGAGAGGAAGUGACAAGCCAGCGGCCUGGCCCCGCGCCCCACGCCGCCCGUGCGGACGCAGACGGCGCGACCAGGACAUCGACGCAAGGGACCGAAGCCCCCGACGUCACAGCCGCCCGCCGGCCCAGAUCCAGCGCGCCGGCCAGAUCCGCAGCAGAGGGAAACGCGCGCGCGCCACCCCCAGGCGCCGGCGAGCAGGUCUCGCGACACCUCGACGCCACCCUGCUCCCCACGCGCGCCCCGCGCCCCACGGCUUCGAGCACGGCAGAGCUCGCCACCAAGACGACCGCGGCCACCCGGCCACCCGGCCACCACGCGUCCGCCGCGGGAUCUCCCCGAGCCACCUUCGGAGGCAGGGGGCCGCCGCCACCGCGGCAAGGCCAGCGGCAGCGGCGGAGGAGAGGAGGCGUAGAAGAGGGGGCCGCCGGCGACUUGGCGAGGUUCCCCCCGAGUCGCCCGAGCGGAGCAACGCGGGGUCUCUCUCUUUCCCUGAUGGUUCCGGCAAGUCAUCAGUGCUUGAGGCUAUUGUUGGAAAGGAUUUCCUACCCAGGGGUUCAGGCAUUGCCACCCGUCGCCCUUUGAUUGUGCAUCUAUUUAAAACUGAAGAAGGAACCGAAUAUGCAAAGUUCUUGCAUCAACCCGACAAAACAUACGCAGAUUUUGCUGAAGUCAGUGCGGAGAUAGCUGAUGAAACUGACCGAGAAACCGGCUCUCCCUAUGGAAUAUCAUCUGUCCCCAUUCGUUUAAGCAUAUUUUCCCCAAAUGUUGUGAAUCUGACUCUAAUUGAUCUUCCUGGGCUUACUAAAAUUGCUGUUGACGACGGGUCAGACAUUAUAGUUCAGGAAAUCGAAAACAUGGUUCGAGCAUUCAUCGAAAAGCCCAAUUGUAUCAUUCUCGCCAUUUCUUCAGCCGACCAGGAUCUUUCAAAUUCUGAAAUAGUCAAUAUUUCACGGGAAGUUGACCCAAAAGGUGAAAGAACCCUUGGUGUACUCACCAAAAUUGAUCUGAUGGAGAACCGAGCAAGUGUUGUUAAUCAUUUGGAAUCUUAUAUUAAAACAAGAGUAGGUGGUUAUCUGUUCACUAAAAGCUCCAUCAAAUCUACAGUGAUAAAGAAAAGCAUGCUGCAAAGCUAUACGCUCAGAGCCUAUGGUACAUUUCCCACGUACCACGUGCGUACGGAAGGCGAGCCACAUGACAUGUACUUUGAAUGCACAGUGCACGUGCAAGGCCACAAGUUCGUUUCAGCAACGCGUCACCGCCGUCGCAAAGAUGCGGAGGAGGAUGCUUCGGAUGUUGCCUACACAGCAUUGAUGGGAAAUGAGACGCUAGAGACUUUACUUGGGUUGCUUAACAAGGAUACAAUAUGCAAGGUUGGACUUCUGCUACAAUACACAUGCAAGAAGAAGGUUGCAGACCCAGUGUAUGCGUCCUCCAAGGUGGCUGCAGGGAUCCAAAGGACACUCUGGCUUUCCACAGUUGUCUUGGAAGACAAGACUUAUAUUGGGGAGGUUGCAACUACUAAGCGUCUGUCAAUUCAGAAAGCUGCUUCCGCAGCAACGUCCUCGAUGCUUGAGGCCGGAGAUGACGUGAUGAUCAAGUUGCUUCUUGCCAAGAGGCUCAAGACCGAGGGCCCCCCAGCGGAAGAAGUAAGAGAGGAGGAGCUAGUGGGCGUCGACUACGGUGCGCCACAUGCGCCUAGACUUGGCAAGGGGGCGGCAUGGGAGGUGGCGGAGGAUGUUGAGGAACACAGCGGAGGAGAAGCAGAUGGCGUUGCUGUUGCCGUUGCUCACCUAAUGCUGGCGGAGGAUGCCGGACAGCAGGGGUGCGAGGAGAAGGCGCACAUCUUGCGAUCAAACGAAGGCGAGUAG